GUCAUCACCGACCCGUCCGGACACGUCAUCGACGAGUUCAGCCGCUGCCUGCAGGACAUCAUCAACGCGGCGCACCACUCCGCGCCCAUGCUGGACGAGAGUCGAGCGUGAUAUUCGAGGCUGGCGAGGCGUAGUCGGAGCUAGCGGCCAUUUUAAAACGUGAUACUGUUUGUUAUUAGGAUAAGUGUGAGUGGAGUGGACGCGAGUCAAACUGUAAGGAUCGUGGUGUGAGUGCAUUAAACAUAACUAUACUAGUUUAGGCUACUAAUUUAGGCGAGCUAGGCCCAGGCCGUUGGCCACUAGUUGCAGUUCUAAACUAGCAGAAUUGAAUUGAAAAUACCGGUUACAAAAACCAAUAGUUUGGACGUACUGGGGUUAGUACCCUUUUCUUUGCCGUGGGCACAUUUGUCCCGACUAAUCAUUACUGAAUAAAAUGAACAUGACUAUGGUCUUGUCGAAAAACCCUUUCCUGUAGGGGUGUAAUGUACCUAAAUGCAACGUAUUGUACUUUGCUUAACUUUUUAACUGAUAACCAACAAAGCGUUUAAACGCGGCUGUUGUGAGAUUGUGAUCAGCCAAUAAACGAAUCAAUCAUGAAUAAAGUACGACUGGAUUAAAUCGCAUAAUUUUGAAUCAAAAUAUCUACACAAGUUUAAAACUUCUGCCGAUUGCUUAGCGAUUGGGUUUUAUUAUUGAUUGUCACUUGAAGACUGCUAUGGAAUUUUGUAGUAUAGAUGCAAUGGAAUUACUUGUAACUUUGUAAAUAUUAGUAGAAUAAAGCUAUAGGCAAAUAUCAGAUUUUUAUUUUGCAUUUUAAUGACUAUAAACCUCAUCUUGGAUAUUAUGGAAUUUAAAUGAAUGUUUUGUAUAGGCCUUUUGUAAAUACCUACUAGCGAUAAGAACUAUUUUGUACCUUUAGACUAAGGUAAUAAAUGUUUAUAGAUAUAAUAUAAUAAAUGCAAUGUUUAUAUA